UUGAUCCUGGCUCAGAGUGAACGCUAGCGGCGUGGUUAAGACAUGCAAGUCGAACGAUGAAGCCCAGCUUGCUGGGCGGAUUAGUGGCAUACGGGUGCGUAACACGUGAGCAACCUGCCUUGAAGUGGGGAAUAGCCCGGGGAAACCCGGAUUAAUACCGCAUGUGGUCUCUUUUCGCAUGAAAAGACGACUAAAGUUUGUAAUGACUCUUCAAGAGGGGCUCGCGGCCUAUCAGCUUGUUGGUGAGGUAAAGGCUCACCAAGGCAAAGACGGGUAGCUGGUCUGAGAGGAUGAUCAGCCACACUGGAACUGAGAUACGGUCCAGACACCUACGGGUGGCAGCAGUUUCGAAUCAUUCACAAUGGGGGAAACCCUGAUGGUGCAACGCCGCGUGGAGGAUGACGGCCUUCGGGUUGUAAACUCCUGUCACCAAGGAACAAACGGCAGGUUCAUAGCCUGUCCUGAGUUAACUUGGAGAGGAAGAGGUGGCUAACUCCGUGCCAGCAGCCGCGGUAAUACGGAGACCUCGAGCGUUACUCGGAUUCACUGGGCGUAAAGAGUAUGUAGGCUGUUUGGUAUGUCAGGUGUGAAAGCCCGAAGCUCAACUUCGGAAUUGCGCCUGAAACUACCGGACUUGAGGCCUGGAGAGGGGAGUGGAAUUCCUGGUGUAGCGGUGAAAUGCGUAGAUAUCAGGAGGAACACCAAUGGCGAAGGCAGCUCCCUGGACAGGUUCUGACGCUGAGAUACGAAAGCGUGGGUAGCGAAAGGGAUUAGAUACCCCUGUAGUCCACGCCGUAAAACGUUGUACACUAGGUUUCGGAGGGCCUACCCCUUCGGAGCUCAAGCUAACGCGAUAAGUGUACCGACUGAGGACUACGGCCGCAAGGCUAAAACUC
rnacentral:rRNA from 1 species